rnacentral:rRNA from 1 species
GGAUAACCUGCCCUUGGGUCCGGCAUAACCCCGGGAAACUGGGGAUAAUUCCGGAUAACGCAUAUAUGCUGGAAUGCUUUAUGCGUAAAAUGGAUUCGUCUGCCCAAGGAUGGGUCUGCGGCCUAUCAGGUAGUAGUGGGUGUAAUGUACCUACUAGCCAACAACGGGUACGGGUUGUGAGAGCAAGAGCCCGGAGAUGGAUUCUGAGACAUGAAUCCAGGCCCUACGGGGCGCAGCAGGCGCGAAAACUUUACAAUGCGGGAAACCGUGAUAAGGGGACACCGAGUGCCAGCAUCAUAUGCUGGCUGUCCGGGUGUGUAAAAUACACCUGUCAGCAAGGGCCGGGCAAGACCGGUGCCAGCCGCCGCGGUAACACCGGCGGCCCGAGUGGUGAUCGUGAUUAUUGGGUCUAAAGGGUCCGUAGCCGGUUUGGUCAGUCCUCCGGGAAAUCUGACGGCUCAACCGUUAGGCUUUCGGGGGAUACUGCCAGGCUUGGAACCGGGAGAGGUAAGAGGUACUACAGGGGUAGGAGUGAAAUCUUGUAAUCCCUGUGGGACCACCUGUGGCGAAGGCGUCUUACCAGAACGGGUUCGACGGUGAGGGACGAAAGCUGGGGGCACGAACCGGAUUAGAUACCCGGGUAGUCCCAGCCGUAAACGAUGCUCGCUAGGUGUCANGCAUGGCGCGACCGUGUCUGGUGCCGCAGGGAAGCCGUGAAGCGAGCCACCUGGGAAGUACNGCCGCAAGGCUGAAACUUAA